rnacentral:RNase_P_RNA from 1 species
GCAGCCGGGCGGUCCGUCGCCGGCGGGUUACACGUAACGCCGCCUGAGGAAAGUCCGGGCAACAGAGAGCGCCAUACUUCCUAACGGGAAGCCGCGGGUGACCGUGGAGGAAACGUGACAGAAAACAACCGCCUGCGGGGCUUGUCCCGGCAGGUAAGGGUGAAAAGGCGGGGUAAGAGCCCACCGGGCGUCACCGCGAGAUGACGCGCCGCACGUCUUAUGGGUUGCAAGGUCAAGUAAACCGGCAUUUAAGGGUUGCUCGCCCGUUGCCGGAGGGUAGACUGCUACGGGAGAUGUCACAGACAACUCCGAUUAGCCGCGAUGGAGACAUCAGGCACAGAUAAAUGACGGACCGGACGCGUCAGGUCGGCAAUCCUCCGGGGUUGCCGAAACCCACGAUCCGACAGAACCCGGCUUAUAGCCCGACUGCCUCU